AGCAGAUGGGGAAAAUAAAAUGACUAAGCUUCACUAUUGUGAGUCAUCAUUUUGUGAAACAACACAAUUUAUAUAAUACAGGUAAAGGAAGAAAAACUCCAUUUCCCCUAUGAAAAUUAGGUGGAAGAGAAAAGGCCUUCAAAUGUACUGAAGAAGAAACUGACUUUUUAAAAAAAUGUUAAGAAGUGUGAUUUCCUCCAGCUUCUUUCCUCUUUCUUAGGGAGCAAUGAAGCAGCCGCAUAUGGGUCAAGGGCCAUCAAAAGGGACUUCAGAGCCUUGGGAUGACAGCUGAAGUAAUUGAAUGCACAGGUCAUUUUUUCUUCUCUGCCUCCUGUAUUGGGUCACACAGUCCUCAAAUGAUUGAUUUGGAAGGAGGGAACUGGGGAAACAAUGUCCCUCCCACUAUAACCAAAGAUCAGGUUCAUGACCACGUGAAGAACCUGAACAUCCAGAAGUCUAUGAGUCCCAAUGAGAUGUAUCCCAGAGUCUUGAGGGAAUUGGCUGAUGUACUCACCAAGCCACUCUCAAUGAUAUUCGAAAAGUCAUGACAGUGAGGUGAAGUCCCUGGUGACUGGAAAAAAGGCAACAUCACAUUCGUUUUUGAGAAGGGUGAAAAAUAUGAUCCUGGGAACUACCAACCUGUCAAUCUCACCUGUGUGCCAGAAAAAAAUCAUGAAGCAGAUCCUCUUGGAAGCUAUUCUAAGGCACAUGGAAGACAGAGAUGAUACGACAGAACCAGCAUGGCUUCACCAAAGGCAAAUAUUGCUUGAACAACCUAAUGUCCUUUUAUGAUUUUGUCACUGCAUCAACAGACAAGGGAAGAACCAUUGAAGUCAUCUACCUGAACUUCAGUAAGGCCUUUGACACAGUAGCUCACAACAUCCUUCUCUCCAAACUGGAAAGCUAUGGAUUUGAUGGGUGGACUGUUUGAUGGGCAAAGAACUGGCUGCAGGGUCUAAUCCAGAGUGGUGGUUGAUAGCUCCAUGUCAGAAUGGAGAUCAGUGAUGAAUGGUGCCCCCAGGUGCUAGGAAGGAAACUCUUUAAUAUCUUCAUCAGUUACUUCAACAGAGGGUUCAUGUGCACCCUCAGCAAGUUUGUGGAUGACACAAAGGUGUGGAGAAUGGACAACACACCUGAGGGUUGGGAUGCCAUUCACAGGGAUCUAGACAGGCUUGAGCAGUGGGCCCAGAAGAACCUCAUGAGUCUUGCAUCUGGGUCAAAGCAACCUCCACUUACCAGUACAAGCUGGGGGUGAAAAGACUGAGCACACACUGACAGGUUGAGGGACGUGAUCCUGACCCUCUGCUCUGAGCUGAUGAAGUCUCACCUGGAGAAUUGCAUUCAUAUGUGGAGUCCUCAGUACAGGAGAGACAUGGAUCUGUUGGAGUGUGUCCAGAGGAGGGAUACAAAAAUGGUCCAAGAGAUAGAACACCUCUCCUGUGAGGACAGGCUGAAAGAGCUGGGCUCUUCAGCCUGGAGAAGAGAAGGCUCUGAGGCGACCUGAUAGUGAGUGGCCUUUCAAUAUCUUAAGGGGAGUUAUGCAAAAGAAGAGGACAGACUCUUUAUCAGGGUCUGUUGUGACAAUGAUAAGGGGAAAUAAUUACAAACUUAAAGAGGGUAGAUUUUAGAUUGGAUACAAGAAAAAAGUCUUUUACAUGGAGCGGGGCGGGGCACUGGAACAUGUUGCCCAGAGACCUGGUGGAUGCUCUGUCUCUGGAGGCUUUCAAGGCUAAACUUGACCGGGCUCUGAGCAACCUGAUCUAGCUAUGGGUGUCUGCUCAUUGCAGGGGAGUUGGGCUUGGUACCUUUAAAGAUUCCUUCCAUCUCUAAAGAUUUUAUAAUUCUAUGAUUCUAUAAAUCUUUCACAUCUUCAUGUAUUUGGUGCCUCAGAUAACCACCAGUUUAAUAUUGCAUGUACAGUCACUUUAGUUACCUGUUUCUCAAGUACAUCCUAUGGGACUAACAGACAGCAAUAUAACAGGAAAAAGAAGUAAAUGUUUGAAACUCCAAUGACAAGCUACUCUGCAGACCCUGGGAUGUGAUAAUACAAGUCUUUUACUUGAGUUUGUUAACAAGUUUUAUAACAUUUAAUAGUUCACUGUAACAUCACCCAGAAUUCUAUGAUACAGUUAAAACAGACUGUAUGUAACACACAGCAUUCUCUAUUAGGCUCUGCAAGUUUGUAGAGUGGAUUCUAAAGAAUUCUCAUAAAAUUGUCAUAGAUUGCCCUUUGUCGCUUUUAACUCCAUUAAAUUAAAUGUAAAUGCCCAAAAACACUCUUCCUUCAUAUCUUCAUCCCUUUCCUUUGAUGGCUUUGUUGAAUUUCAACUUCACAGAACUCUCUUCACAUCAAAAUGAGUCUCUGUGAAACAGAGCAAAAUAUCCAGAAUAUCUACUUUCCCUGACAUGCAACAGUCUAGCCACAGAAGUGACAAGUUUAAGUAUGAAGAGUCUGUGGUGAUAAGAAUGAGACAUAAAUUUUAAUAAUUCCUUUGAGAGAUGUUUCAUGUCUACAAAUGCUGGCAAGCAAAGUAAAAAUCUAUAACUUGUAAAUUUUUUAAAUUCACACUUUUGAGGGUAAGUGGGCAAUCAUACACAUGGCCCUUUGCAACUCCUGAAGGACAUCAUGGACUAUGACUAAUUAUAUGUGUAAGAAUGUUGAUAAACAAUGUCUUGAGGAAAACAGAAGCAGGAAAAGAUCUAUAGUUUUUAACUUAAAUACCAGGAAGAAAAUGACACUUGAAUCUUGCUUAUGAGUAGUUAGGGAAACAGCCAUCUUUCUUCUAUUGUCUGAUCUAAACUAAGCUAUCUAAUGCAGAUUAAAAUAAUUUAAUGAAACCUGAAAGCCCUUUCACAAGCAAAGAUGCAAACUGCUCCAGUGUCUCACCACUCUCACAGUAAAGAAUUUCCUCUUAAUAUCUAGUCUAAACCUACCCUUUUCCAGUUUUAAACCAUUUUACCUUGUCCUUUCACUACGUACUCUUAUAAAAAGUCCCUCCCCAGGUUUCCUGUAGGCCCCCUUCAGGGACAGGAAUUAAAUUUUCAUCUAUCACUCACAUUUUUCAUAAUAUUCUCUUAUGGUUUCAUUCUGAAGAAAAUGUUUUUCAAGAAAUAAACAAAUUACUUUGUUAUCAGAAGUAAGAAAGUAAUCUAGUAACUGAUUCAUGCUGCUCUUUACAUUUAUAAUCAAAAGGAAUUAAAGAGUUGGUACAGAAAGAAACUCUCUUUGAAAUUAAAAAUAGAACUAAAAUGGAAAGAAAGCACCAACAAUCUUGUUUUAAAUUGAACACCAAGUCCUGGUGGAACUGCAAGAACUGGAACCACUGUGACUAGAAAGGUCACUACGCAUAACAAAUGCACAGGCUUGCUGCAACAAGCAGCACUGUAGUUGCAGAAUUAUGUACAUACACAUACACAUACAGAAAAAAAAAAAAGGUAAAAAUAAUAUAAUUUAACUGUUAAUGUUAAGUACAACAUGAAGUUGAAAGUACUCUUUCAACUGUAUGAUUGCAUUUGGUAAUUCUGGCAUACCGCAGAUGAACAUAAUGGUGCAACACAGACAUAUUGUAGAAUCAUAGAAUGGUCUGGGUUGGAAGGGAUAUUGAGGAUCAUCAAGCUCCAAGACCCCUGCCACAGGCAGGGCCACCAGCCUCCACAUUUAAUUCUAGACCAGGCUGCCCAGGACCCCAUCCAACCUGGCCUUGAACACCUCCAGGGACAAGGCAUCCACAACCUCUCUGGGCAGCCUGUUCCAGCACCUCACCACUCUCAUAGUAAAGAACUUCCCCCAGAUAUCCAACCUAAAUCUUCCCUCCUUCAACUUAAAACCAUUUCCCCUUGUCCUGCUAUUAUCUACUCUUUCAAAGAGUUGGCUCCUCACCUGUUUAUAGGCUCCCUUUAGAUACUGAAAGGCUGCAGUGAUGUCACCCCGCAGCCUUCUCUUCUCCAGGCUGAACAGGCCCAGAUCCCUCAGUUGGUCUUCAUAGGAGUGCUGCUCCAGCCCUCCAAUCAUCUUUGUGGCCCUCCUCUGGACCCUCUCCAACAGCUUCCUGUCUUUCUUGUACAGGGGGCCCCAGACCUGGACUCAGUACUCCAGAUGGGGCCUCAUGAGGGCAGAGUAGAGAGGGACAGUCACUUCCCUGUCUCUGCUGGCCAGCCCUCCUCUAACUGAGCCCAGGAUACCAUUUGCUUUCCAAGCUGCAAGAGCAUGCUGGUGUCUCAUGUUAAGUUUUUCAACCACCAGGACCCCCGGGUCAUUCUCUUCAGGACUACUCUCAAGGGCUGCUGCUUCCAAUCUGUAUAUAUGCCUGGGAUUCCUCCAUCCCAAGUGCAAAUCCUUGCACUUUUCUGUGUUGAACCUCAUCAGAUUUACCUGGGCCCACCUUUCAAAUCUGUUGAGGUGUAUCUGAAUGGCAUCCUGUUGUUCCAUUGUGUCAACCGCACCACUCAGCUUAGUGUCAUCAGCAUAUUUAUGUUCUUAAAAAUUAAAAAGAUGUAUAUUACAUCUAUCAUCUUAAAUUUUCACACCAGUAUGGAGCUUCAAGUAGACUUCCUCCUCCUGAUUCUCUGGACAUCUUUGACGGGAGUUUUGUAUCUGCAGUUGCAUCUUCUACUUUUGAUUUUGUGAGCCAAGAAACCUCUGAUUCUGUACAGUGAUGUGCAUCUAAAGUGGAAGUGAGUCAUUAGAAAUUAACAUCUAAAAUCAGAAACAAAAUCUAAAAGAAGUAUUUUCCUUCUAUAAAUUAGCAGUAAAUUAGUGCAUCAAAGUAAACAUCCAUGUAAGUAAUCAUAUUUUUUUAAGAAGUAAAAAAAACCCUGAAUUUCAGAGCCCUGAGUUUUAUACAAAUGAAGCCACAGAUAUAUCACAUACAGCUUCUAUAGAAACUAAGAUUCCUUAUAUGAAUUUUAUGCUUUCAGAAUAUACAUGUGGUCAUUUUCAGAUUAUGUUUUCAUCCUCAAUCUCUUUAGACCUAACUGAUUUUGUAUCUCAUAUUUGCUUUGCGUUCAAAAGUGGAUUGCUCAGUCUUGUUUCUUAAGGCUGGGAUGUUCUGUGCAUUGAUGGAUAUCUUGAAAAAUCUGUAAUUGCAUGUGCUUAAAUGCUCACAAGCAGCUUUCAAAAUAAACAACAGCUGAUAAUGCAGCUCAGAGAGAAGAGGUAAGUUGAUCCCAAAUACAAGUUCACAACAGAUAAGCACAUGCUGUAUUUCUGUGUCUGAUAUACAUAUGUACAUUUGUGGACUUGUUUUUAGUGUGAAGUAAAAAAUGUAAUUUAAUAAACUGCCUGUACCCACAGAUGUUCCUCUUUCACUUUAAUAGUAUGAAGAUACUUGUGUCAGGCUAGUCAUUAAAAAUACAAGUAGUUUCUUUGUUCUUGUUGAACUACAAACUUCAUUAUGGAUUCAUUAUUUGGAAUCUUUAUUACUAGAUUAUUUACUAUAUAUAUAUAUUUACUUUAUUACUAGAUUUUGAACUUUAUUACUCAUUAUGGACCAGUGAGCACAGAAAAAGAACUCUUCUUGACCUUUCCAGCAACUCAUCCUCAAUUGCUUUCAUCUAAUUUUAUCAAUUCAAAUGAUCUUGCAUCUAUUUUAAAUGGAAUGAAUAUGCAAAAAUUUGCGAAAACAAAAGUGAUCUGCAUUUUAACGAAAUAUACUUGGUAAAUUUUGGCCAAGGAGAGAUGGAUAGCAUUCAUGCAAUGUGUAUUGCUAGGUCAUGAGAGGCAUACAUUUGAUGUCUAAAUCAAACUUACAAAGUAGAAAGGUGUUUCUCUUUACUGGAUAAUUUGAGAAAGUAGGAAAUAAGAUAAUAUUCAUCAUGGUAUGUAACAGGCUCCACUCCAGCUGGAAGUUGAGCAUCUGAGAAGAGCCUAGCCAAAUGAUAAAAUUUGAAACCAAGAGGAGAUGUUGAAGGAGUGAAAUAAAUAAGGAGGAACUUCUAUCAUUAAUUUAUCACCGAAAACAGCUAAUCUGACACACUGCAGAAAGGAAGAAGGCAUUUUUUAAAUACAAUCUGUUGUUGUUGUUAGUGUAGUACAAUACAUAAUGACAACAUCUUAGUCUAGUAUUGUUACUCUAAAUCAUUUUGGUAAUUUGUCACUGUAUGGGACUUCAUUAGGAGUCCAAAAGGAUCUUAGAAGGAAGAGCAUAAAACCCAUGUAUUUCAGGUUUUUGUGUUCAAGAAAAAAAUAGUUCAAAUACAUAACAGGAAGAAUGAUACAAAAAUAAUUAGAAAUACAACCAAAGUGAAGAAAGUGAAGUACAACCACAAGGUGGAGGAGGAAAUAAAGGAACGAGCUAACGAGGAAAAUAGCAGUAAUGUUGAACUAUAUACAAGGGUUUCUCAGAAAGUAAUGCCUCUUAUUUUGUUAUGUUGGCCCUCAAUGUGAGAGGAGGAUGUUGGUGGUAUGGCAGUAAAGGUUGAACCUUCCCUCCAGUAUUCUAUUAAAUUUUACUUUCAAAUAGCAGCAGAGGGGCAGUCUGACAAAAUGGCAUCCAACAUGAAAGUGUGCAUGAAGCAAAAGUGCAUCAAUGAAUUCCUCCAUGAGGAAACAAUUGCAUGCACUGAUAUUCAUCAAUGCUUGCUGACCAGUGAUGAAGACUGAACAGUGGAUGUGAGCAUGGUGAGGCUGUGUGGUGCGUGUCAGCAACACAAAAGACAAGAGACGUUUGGGAUGGUCAUGCAGAUUUAUACUGGUGUUGCAUGCAGGCUCUUGUUCAUUGUUGAUGAAAAUGCAUAGUUAAAGGUGGUGACUAUGUUUAAAAAUUGUGUUCUGUAGCUGAGAAUCUUCUCUAUCUAAUAAUGUAGUCGUGCUAUCUGAAUCUGUUGUAGUUUCCAUGGAAAUAAACAGGAGGCAUUACGUUUGAAGCACAGUAUGUGCAUCAUUGUGAUGUAGCUACUACCAUAGUUUGCUUAAAGAGGCAAAGAAAUUUGUCCAGAGAGAAGAGAAGGAAAAACAAAUGAUAUACAUAUAUAGCCUUUUAUUGUUGUCAUAUAUAUAUAAAAGAAAGAAAAAGUCAAAAAAGACUGAAAAAGAUAAUCAAAAACAAAAACAAAAAAAAAUUCAACACUGUACUAAAAAUAGAACCCUGAUUUCAAAGGUGAAAAAAAGUGAAAGUAAACAUUUUUUGCCUGUCAUUAUUAUACACAUACAUUUAAAAUUAAUGAACCUCUUUUUAAUUUUUUCAAUAUGCUGCUAAUAUCUGUCUACUGAUUAUUUCUUGGCAGGAAACUUGGCAGGACUACAUAAUUUUUUUUAAGGUCACAGAUGAUUCAAAACAAUCAGAAAUAAAUGUAUCUUGCUAGUAGAACAUUAAGACUCUGGAAAUUAGAGGACUAUACAUUUUCUACCACUUUUUAGAUUUAUGGUAAAUAUUAGAAAAUCAUAGCAACAUAAAAUUUUGCAGUUUGAUCAUAGUGACACAACAAAGAAAUUUACUGAAGUUGAUCAAUUUAGAUACCAAAGUUAGGUUUUCCCUUGUUUUGAGUCAAUUAAUAUCCUCUCCUCUCGAACUUCCAUUUCAUGGCCAAGUACUGUAAUUUGUUAUCUAGUGCCCUCCAUGUGCUAUAGCAGUGACUCUCUACAGUGGUUAACUUCAUAAAUUCAAUUAAACUGUAAUUAAUUUUAUGCUUUGCUUGUUUAGUAGAUCUUUGGUGAAAAUAACUUAUUAUCUGAAGCUUAGAUUUAACCAUUUUUUUGUGUCAAAAUCUACUGAAGUUAGCAGGAGACACGAGUGAUCACCAAGCCUAUGGGACAGAAAAGAUAAAACAGGCUGAUUGUGUCAGUCAUGGAGAUUCCAACAGUGACUGAAAAGUCUCACUUCUGAAAAUGAUUUGCUAUGCUAUAUAUGUAUAAAGCUGAUCUGCAGGAAGUUCUAUGUGAUCAUAAUUGUUAUCUAAUUCAUUUAUCUGUUUAUUUUCAUGGAGUACUGUCAAAUGAAGGACUCUACCCUGGUUUACCUCUGUUUCUCCAUGAAGAAAAGUUAGCCUUUAUAUUCUGGCAAGACUCCAGAAGGAGUCGCAGAAUCACAGAAUGGCAUGGAUUGGAAGAGAUUUUAAAGAUCACCCAGUUCCAACCCUCCUGAGUUAGAUCUGAGUUGGAACUGCCUACCACACUAGAUUUGGAGUUGCCACCCACUAGAUCAGGCUGCUCAAGGCCCCUCACAACCUGGGCUUGAACACAUCCAGGAAUGGGGCAUCCACAGCUUCUCUGGGUGUGUCAGGGACCUAAAGGUUCUGACCAAAGAAUGAUCCUGAAUUGUAUCAAAGGAUUCUGGGAGAGAACAUAACUGGAUGGCUAUGUGACUAUGGGCCAUGGGCCGCAUGACAAUUUCAAGGGAAGCUGUAUUUGUGGCUACAGCUGUUUAUCUUGUUUUGUGGGGAGUUGACCUUGCCAGUUGAUUUUGUUUUGCAAGUGGCUGAGCUUGCUUGCAAGCAGGUGUGCUUCUUGGUCUCUGUAUCAUGUGCUGGCCAUGUGAGUGCAGCAUGCAAGUGGAAAAAACCCUGCAGUCCCUGAGAGAGAAUAAAAGCAGUGGGGACACUACGGUGCAUUGGGCAGGAUAAGUAUGCCUUGGAACAGGGGGUGCCCUGUUGCAUUUCUUAUUCAGCCCAUCACUGGCAUGUUUCCAUUUCCUCCUUCUGCCUGGUGUUUUGUCCAUCUCCAGAGGUUUGGUAAGUGAUAUUAAGCUUGCUUAAAUGAGCGUCUGUUUUAGCUUACUGGGUUUAUCUAAGCAUAUGCCUAUGUGCGUGCCAAAUAAAACUCGCAACUCUCCAAGUUGCCCUAAUGUGUGUAAUUACUUGCCUCCACUCCUAAAACUUCCUGUUUCUUGGAUCCAAAACGUACCCUGAAACACUGGGUAACUUCUUCCAGAGCCUCAGUACCCUCUGAGUGGUUCCACCAAACAUCUAAUCUAAAUCUCGUCUCUUAUAGUUUAAAACCACUCCCCCUUCUCCUAUCACUAUCAGAGCAUGUAAAAAGUCAGUCUCCCUCCUGUUUACAAACUCCAUUUAAAUACGGGAAGGCCACAGUGAAGUAUCACCAGAGUCUUCUCUUCAAGGAGUAAUCACUUUCUGCUGACUUUGGCAUGUGCUGAUUUGUGCAAGUAGAAAGGCUAAUGUCGAAGACAUUGACACUACAAAUAACUAUAUGAAUGGAGACUGAAUGGAGGCUGAAUGGAGGCUGAAUACUUCU